GAUGAAGAACGCAUCGAAAUGCGAUAAGUAAUGUGAAUUGCAGAAUUCAGUGAAUCAUCGAAUCUUUGAACGCACAUUGCGCCCCUUGGUAUUCCGAGGGGCAUGCCUGUUCGAGCGUCAUUAUAACCCCUCAAGCUCAGCUUGGUGUUGGGGCCUGCUGCACUGGCAGCCCUUAAAAUCAGUGGCGGCGCCAUCUGGCUCUAAGCGUAGUAAUUCUUCUCGCUAUGGAGUCCUGGUGGAUGCUUGCCAUCAACCCCCAAUUUUUCUAUGGUUGACCUCGGAUCAGGUAGGGAUACCCGCUGAACUUAAGCAUAUCAAUAAGCGGAGGA
rnacentral:misc_RNA from 1 species